UUGUGACUUAUUCGUAAAAAAGCGGGUACUACCCAACGGUCACUUGUGCAGUCGUUGGUUACGUCAACUUACUGUUGUCCUGACAGGAAGUGGACUUUCAGAGGCGAGAGACUGCAUGCUUUUCAUCAGCUCAAGCCAUGAACAGAAGAGAGACCAUGGAGGAAACGUCUCAAGGCACUGUCAUGAUGGAUGCUGCCUCUGGGAUAAGACCUGAACUAGCCUAUAGUUCAGAAGACGUCUCAUACCUCGCACGUCCAGAAUCGCAUGGAAAUCGCGCGAAGGAGUAUGCUGUGCAAAACACCAGGCCCAUACAUGAGAGGUACGCGUCGUUCGCAAGCAGAAAAUCGUCGUUCGACCUUUAUCCUGCAACUGCGCAGGGAAACACAGAAAAAAUGGCAAAAGCUGGAUUCUUCUACACUGGUGCUCAAGAUCGCACAACCUGCUUUCAGUGCGGCAACUCUCUUUGCAGUUGGAGCGAUGAGGACGACCCGUUAUUUG